rnacentral:rRNA from 1 species
AGAGUUUGAUCCUGGCUCAGGACGAACGCUGGCGGCGUGCCUAACACAUGCAAGUCGAGCGAAGUUUAUUUAGCAGCGACUUCGGUCAAAGCUGAUUAAACUUAGCGGCGAACGGGUGAGUAACACGUAGGCAACCUGCCCAUGACACGGGGAUAGCUUCGGGAAACCGGAGGUAAUACCCGAUACCUUUACUUAUUGCAUGAUAAGUAAAGGAAGCGAAUAGCGGUCAUGGAUGGGCCUGCGUCCCAUUAGCUAGUUGGUGAGAUAACAGCCCACCAAGGCGACGAUGGGUAGCCGACCUGAGAGGGUGACCGGCCACACUGGAACUGAGACACGGUCCAGACUCCUACGGGAGGCAGCAGUGGGGAAUCUUGCGCAAUGGGCGAAAGCCUGACGCAGCGACGCCGCGUGAGCGAAGAAGGCCUUCGGGUCGUAAAGCUCAGUCAUUGGGGAUGAGAUGACAGUACCCAGGGAGGAAGCCCCGGCUAACUACGUGCCAGCAGCCGCGGUAAUACGUAGGGGGCGAGCGUUGUCCGGAAUUACUGGGUGUAAAGGGCGUGUAGGCGGGGGUGCAAGUUACCGGUAAAAACCCAGGGCUCAACUCUGGGCUUGCCGGUAAAACUGCAUCUCUUGAGUGUAGGAGAGGGAAGUGGAAUUCCCGGAGUAGCGGUGAAAUGCGUAGAUACCGGGAGGAACACCAGUGGCGAAGGCGGCUUCCUAGCCUACAACUGACGCUGAGGCGCGAAAGCUAGGGUAGCGAACGGGAUUAGAUACCCCGGUAGUCCUAGCCGUAAACGAUGGUCACUAGGUGUGGGUGGUGGUCA